rnacentral:rRNA from 1 species
AGUGAACGCUGGCGGCGUGCCUAACACAUGCAAGUCGAACGGUAACAGGAACUAGCUUGCUAGUUUGCUGACGAGUGGCGCACGGGUGAGUAAUAUAUAGUUAAUGUACCCCAAAGACUGGGAUAGCCACUGGAAACGGUGAUUAAUACUAGAUACACCUCUUUAACAUAAGUUAGAGAGGGAAAUGUCUUUUCGCUUUGGGAUCAGACUAUAUCCUAUCAGUUAGUUGGUGAGGUAAUGGCUCACCAAGGCAAUGACGGGUAGCGGGUUUGAGAGGAUGAUCCGCCACACUGGAACUGAGACACGGUCCAGACUCCUACGGGAGGCAGCAGUGGGGAAUUUUGGACAAUGGGCGCAACGCCUGACUCCAGCCAUCGCCGCGUGAGU